UGGGGAAUAUUGGACAAUGGGCGAAAGCCUGAUCCAGCCAUGCCGCGUGUGUGAAGAAGGUCUUCGGAUUGUAAAGCACUUUAAGUUGGGAGGAAGGGCAGUAAGCGAAUACCUUGCUGUUUUGACGUUACCGACAGAAUAAGCACCGGCUAACUCUGUGCCAGCAGCCGCGGUAAUACAGAGGGUGCAAGCGUUAAUCGGAAUUACUGGGCGUAAAGCGCGCGUAGGUGGUUCGUUAAGUUGAAUGUGAAAGCCCCGGGCUCAACCUGGGAACUGCAUCCAAAACUGGCGAGCUAGAGUAGGGCAGAGGGUGGUGGAAUUUCCUGUGUAGCGGUGAAAUGCGUAGAUAUAGGAAGGAACACCAGUGGCGAAGGCGACCACCGGGGCUCAUACUGACACUGAGGUGCGAAAGCGUGGGGAGCAAACAGG
rnacentral:rRNA from 1 species